CUAACAUCUGAGAAAAAUUGUCUUUGUCUGUAUAACAGCUGAGCCUUCUGCCAAAAUCCAGAAAUACCAUAAACUAUCUUGCACCCCCACGCAGAAGUCUCCAGCUCAUAUGCUGCAAAUCCACAGCUUGGGCUGUGGCUCCCUGUAAUGUCAGCUGAUGAGUGAGAAAGGGUCAAGAUGUACAUCCUGAGCAAAUGUGUCUUUUGUCCUGGUCUCUUCAUGGAAAAUGCAGGCAAAAGGCUGCUGCCACUGCGCUGUGAGCUGAAGGGCUGGCAGAAGACUAUCCAUCCCACCUCUCCCCAUGCAUCCUCAGGCCAGCCAUGGCCUGCAGGCCCAUGGCCUCUGAUCCGCCUGAUCUGCAGAGUCCCUUUUCUGGGAGAAUCAAGGAAGGAAAGGGUGGUGAUGUUAGAAGGACGUUCCUGUGAUGAUACCUGCCUACAUUUAAGAAUUCCUACAUUCCUAUUGCUAUUUAGCUACAGUAUGCACUGCAGUGCACGAUCCUGAUGCCUGCUGUAUGAUGUACUGUUUAUUGCAAGCCACAGGUAAGUCAGUUAGCUAAAACAAUAUAUCACCCCUCCAUUUAAAUGGAAUUUGAAGCCAAUAUUUGAGAAGGUGCAUGGCAUAUAAUUUCCCUAUCUUUCAAAAACCUAUGUUUUCUCAGUCAUUCCUGAUAUUACUCUGGAAGCCCUAACAAAGCUGUUCCUUCAUUGAGAUGCCUUCAUCCUCUUCCCCUUUUUGUGUAUGGGUACUUUGUUUUGUUUUUCCCCUGUGUAAUCAAUGAGCUAGGACUGUUACUGAUUCUGACAUUGAUAUUGACCUAGAAAAGUAUUCGCACAAAGCUCUGUCCGGAAAUAAAACACUUCUAUAUUGAAAAGAUAAUGUGGAU
rnacentral:lncRNA from 1 species